rnacentral:lncRNA from 1 species
UUGAACUCGCAUAGUGAGUUCACCUUUCUGCACAUCAAUUAACGUUCUUCCCGUGGCUAGAAAGGUCUCCCAAGGAUAAUUGGUACUUCCUUAUCUGCUUCAAAAUCUAAAAUAAUGAAAUCAGUAGGAAAAAUAAAUUUAUCGACUCUUACCAAAACAUCCUCGAUCUUUCCUUCGGGAUAUCUAAAGAUCGAUCCGCUAGCU